rnacentral:lncRNA from 1 species
CCCAUAUCUCAGUUAUUACAACUUGGAACAUAGGGUGAACCUUACCAUGGACGUUAUCCUCAGCUGUAUGGGGUUGGGACGUCUCAUACCGGAAGAGGUUAUGAGUUUAUUAGUGUCGCUCAUACCGGAUGGGGUAUUGAGGCAGUUUUUAGUUGUGGUGCCUAUUACCGGACAGGAUAUGGGGAUGGUUGUUUGAUUACAAGGAACAUAUUUGUAUCCAUAUGUAGCAGAGAUCCCUAUGGACCAACCCCAGUGACACUAGUAAGGAAAGGUAAUAUGAUAGAGUAGAGAUGGAUAUGGUAAGAAAUAUGAUUUUGGGAAAGUAGUGAAGACUCAAAUGUCAUACGUCUUUGCAAAUGCAUAUUGUUAAAUUGUUAUUCUGAUUUUUAUUUUAAUGUAUGACAUUUGAGAAGUUACAUGUUAAUCGAAAAAAAACACUAACGUUUUCAGUGAAAUGAAUAAUAAAUGCACUAGCACUCGAGUUUUAUUAAGAGUGU